AUUGAACGCUGGCGGCAUGCUUUACACAUGCAAGUCGAACGGUAACAGGCCGCAAGGUGCUGACGAGUGGCGAACGGGUGAGUAAUGCAUCGGAACGUGCCCAGUCGUGGGAGAUAACUACUCGAAAGAGUAGCUAAUACCGCAUACGAUCUAUGGAUGAAAGCGGGGGACCGUAAGGCCUCGCGCGAUUGGAGCGGCCGAUGUCAGAUUAGGUAGUUGGUGGGGUAAAGGCUCACCAAGCCAACGAUCUGUAGCUGGUCUGAGAGGACGACCAGCCACACUGGGACUGAGACACGGCCCAGACUCCUACGGGAGGUAGCAGUGGGGAAUUUUGGACAAUGGGCGCAAGCCUGAUCCAGCAAUGCCGCGUGCAGGAAGAAGGCCUUCGGGUUGUAAACUGCUUUUGUACGGAACGAAACGGCUCUGGUUAAUACCCGGGGCUAAUGACGGUACCGUAAGAAUAAGCACCGGCUAACUACGUG
rnacentral:rRNA from 1 species